UUUUUUUUUUUUUUGUUUUUAUUUUUUAGGGCCGCACUUAUGGCAUAUGAAGUUCCCAGGCUAGCAGUAGAAUCAGAGCUACAGCUGCCAGCCUACAGCAUAGCUAUAACAACGUGGGAUCUGAGCCAUGUCAGGGUCCUACACACUAACUCAUGGCAACGCCAGAUCCUUAACCCACUGAGUGAGGCCAGGGAUCAAUCCUGCAUCCUCACAGAGACCAUGUAAGGUCUUUAAACUGCUGAGCCACGACAGGAACUCUGAGGGCCCCAGAAAUUUAAAUUUAAUGCCCCAGAGUUUUUGUUUCCUUCACAAAAUUAACUUGCUAGUGUAUACAAGCCUUGACAUGAUUAUAACAUGGCAAAUAUCUAAAAUUUUUUACAAAAAUGCCUUUAUUCCAAUUAUUUAGGUGCUUACAAGGAACUUAACUGCAUUUUUGCUUUCAAAGCCAGAUCCAAACUGCAUCUGCAUCCGAUACCACAGCUCGUAGCAACUCUGGGUCCUUAACACACUGAGCAGUGGCCAGGGAUCAAAGUCAUGUCCUCACAGAUACUAGCUGGGUUUGUUACUGCUGAGCCACAACAGGAACUCUCUAAACUAUUUCUUUCUAGCUACUUAAUGUACUUCCUAUACAACUUAAAUUACAAUGUAUAAGGUUUUAUCACUUUUAUGCUAUUUUCACUAUACCUUCCCAUUUUCCACAAUAUUUAUGAGGAUGAAUAAUACUCUUUUGAAUGCAUAUGCCAGAACCAAUACAUUUUUUUUCCUCUACUGUUGAACCUAUACAUAAUUUCUAAUUUUCAGAAAUAACGUCACAAAUGCAGGAGUUCCCGUCGUGGCGCAGUGGUUAACGAAUCCGACUAGGAACCAUGAGGUUGCGGGUUCGGUCCCUGCCCUUGCUCAGUGGGUUAACGAUCCGGCGUUGCUGUGAGCUGUGGUGUAGGUUGCAGACGAAGCUUGGAUCCUGCGUUGCUGUGGCUCUGGCGUUGGUUGGCGGCUACAGCUCUGACUGGACCCCUAGCCUGGGAACCUCCAUAUGCUGCGGGAGCGGCCCAAGAAAUAGCAAAAAAACCAACAACAAAAAAAAAACCAACAAAAAAAAGCAAAUGCACUUGCACAGAAAAGUGCUUUUAGCAUUUGGGCUUGUUUUCUUAGUACAUAUGGGUCAAAGGGUAUUAAAUGAUUAAGUCUCUUAUUAUCUUUAACUGGCAAACUGGACUAUACAAAUCUAUACUUCUAUCUAUAUAAGCAUUCAUUUUAAAAUACUUCAUAAACAUUUACUUUUGAUGGAUUAAUAUCUUUAAUAUCCAAUAUUUGUUAAUUUAAAAGAUGAAAAAUGAGAACUUAUUUUAAUUUGCAUUUCCUUGAUUAUUUUGUUCCUUUCUGGCUGUUCAUCCACUGGGAUCUAGGUUUUUCCGCUUACUAAUUUAAAUGUUCUUCACGACUUUUACUU
rnacentral:lncRNA from 1 species